UUAAGCGACUAAGCGUACACGGUGGAUGCCCUGGCAGUCAGAGGCGAUGAAGGACGUGCUAAUCUGCGAAAAGCGUCGGUAAGGUGAUAUGAACCGUUAUAACCGGCGAUGUCCGAAUGGGGAAACCCAGUGUGAUUCGUCACACUAUCGUUAACUGAAUACAUAGGUUAACGAGGCGAACCGGGGGAACUGAAACAUCUAAGUACCCCGAGGAAAAGAAAUCAACCGAGAUUCCCCCAGUAGCGGCGAGCGAACGGGGAGCAGCCCAGAGUCUGAAUCAGCUUGUGUGUUAGUGGAACGGUCUGGAAAGUCCGACGGUACAGGGUGAUAGUCCCGUACACCAAAAUGCACAGGUUGUGAACUCGAAGAGUAGGGCGGGACACGUGGUAUCCUGUCUGAAUAUGGGGGGACCAUCCUCCAAGGCUAAAUACUCCUGACUGACCGAUAGUGAACCAGUACCGUGAGGGAAAGGCGAAAAGAACCCCGGCGAGGGGAGUGAAAAAGAACCUGAAACCGUGUACGUACAAGCAGUGGGAGCACCUUCGGGUGUGACUGCGUACCUUUUGUAUAAUGGGUCAGCGACUUAUAUUCUGUAGCAAGGUUAACCGUAUAGGGGAGCCGCAGGGAAACCGAGUCUUAACUGGGCGUUAAGUUGCAGGGUAUAGACCCGAAACCCGGUGAUCUAGCCAUGGGCAGGUUGAAGGUUGGGUAACACUAACUGGAGGACCGAACCGACUAAUGUUGAAAAAUUAGCGGAUGACUUGUGGCUGGGGUGAAAGGCCAAUCAAACCGGGAGAUAGCUGGUUCUCCCCGAAAGCUAUUUAGGUAGCGCCUCGUGAACUCAUCUUCGGGGGUAGAGCACUGUUUCGGCUAGGGGGUCAUCCCGACUUACCAACCCGAUGCAAACUACGAAUACCGAAGAAUGUUAUCACGGGAGACACACGGCGGGUGCUAACGUCCGUCGUGAAGAGGGAAACAACCCAGACCGCCAGCUAAGGUCCCAAAGUCAUGGUUAAGUGGGAAACGAUGUGGGAAGGCACAGACAGCCAGGAUGUUGGCUUAGAAGCAGCCAUCAUUUAAAGAAAGCGUAAUAGCUCACUGGUCGAGUCGGCCUGCGCGGAAGAUGUAACGGGGCUAAACCAUGCACCGAAGCUGCGGCAGCGACACUAUGUGUUGUUGGGUAGGGGAGCGUUCUGUAAGCCUGCGAAGGUGACCUGUGAGGGUUGCUGGAGGUAUCAGAAGUGCGAAUGCUGACAUAAGUAACGAUAAAGCGGGUGAAAAGCCCGCUCGCCGGAAGACCAAGGGUUCCUGUCCAACGUUAAUCGGGGCAGGGUGAGUCGACCCCUAAGGCGAGGCCGAAAGGCGUAGUCGAUGGGAAACAGGUUAAUAUUCCUGUACUUGGUGUUACUGCGAAGGGGGGACGGAGAAGGCUAUGUUAGCCGGGCGACGGUUGUCCCGGUUUAAGCAUGUAGGCUGAUUGUCCAGGCAAAUCCGGAUAAUCAAGGCUGAGGUGUGAUGACGAGGCACUACGGUGCUGAAGUAACAAAUGCCCUGCUUCCAGGAAAAGCCUCUAAGCAUCAGGUAACAUCAAAUCGUACCCCAAACCGACACAGGUGGUCAGGUAGAGAAUACCAAGGCGCUUGAGAGAACUCGGGUGAAGGAACUAGGCAAAAUGGUGCCGUAACUUCGGGAGAAGGCACGCUGGUGUGUAGGUGAAGUCCCUGCGGAUGGAGCUGAGACCAGUCGAAGAUACCAGCUGGCUGCAACUGUUUAUUAAAAACACAGCACUGUGCAAACACGAAAGUGGACGUAUACGGUGUGACGCCUGCCCGGUGCCGGAAGGUUAAUUGAUGGGGUUAUCCGUAAGGAGAAGCUCUUGAUCGAAGCCCCGGUAAACGGCGGCCGUAACUAUAACGGUCCUAAGGUAGCGAAAUUCCUUGUCGGGUAAGUUCCGACCUGCACGAAUGGCGUAAUGAUGGCCAGGCUGUCUCCACCCGAGACUCAGUGAAAUUGAACUCGCUGUGAAGAUGCAGUGUACCCGCGGCAAGACGGAAAGACCCCGUGAACCUUUACUAUAGCUUGACACUGAACAUUGAGCCUUGAUGUGUAGGAUAGGUGGGAGGCUUUGAAGCGUGGACGCCAGUCUGCGUGGAGCCAACCUUGAAAUACCACCCUUUAAUGUUUGAUGUUCUAACGUUGGCCCCUUACCGGGGUUGCGGACAGUGUCUGGUGGGUAGUUUGACUGGGGCGGUCUCCUCCCAAAGCGUAACGGAGGAGCACGAAGGUUAGCUAAUCCUGGUCGGACAUCAGGAGGUUAGUGCAAUGGCAUAAGCUAGCUUGACUGCGAGCGUGACGGCGCGAGCAGGUGCGAAAGCAGGUCAUAGUGAUCCGGUGGUUCUGAAUGGAAGGGCCAUCGCUCAACGGAUAAAAGGUACUCCGGGGAUAACAGGCUGAUACCGCCCAAGAGUUCAUAUCGACGGCGGUGUUUGGCACCUCGAUGUCGGCUCAUCACAUCCUGGGGCUGAAGUAGGUCCCAAGGGUAUGGCUGUUCGCCAUUUAAAGUGGUACGCGAGCUGGGUUUAGAACGUCGUGAGACAGUUCGGUCCCUAUCUGCCGUGGGCGCUGGAGAAUUGAGGGGGGCUGCUCCUAGUACGAGAGGACCGGAGUGGACGCAUCACUGGUGUUCGGGUUGUCAUGCCAAUGGCACUGCCCGGUAGCUAAAUGCGGAAGAGAUAAGUGCUGAAAGCAUCUAAGCACGAAACUUGCCCCGAGAUGAGUUCUCCCUGAGACUUUAAGUCUCCUGAAGGAACGUUGAAGACGACGACGUUGAUAGGCCGGGUGUGUAAGCGCAGCGAUGCGUUGAGCUAACCGGUACUAAUGAACCGUGAGGCUUAACCUU
rnacentral:rRNA from 1 species